rnacentral:lncRNA from 1 species
UUGAGUUUCGGCAAGUGAGGUCAUAAAAAGUAGCAGGCUUGCCCAGAUCGCUGAUAGGCAGACUUGCCGGCCCACCCUGGAUGGAGGAGGCCCUGUGGACCUCCGGUGGGGCAGAGUACCGACCCAAAGACCCUCCGGCCCCGCAGCCUCCGGCUGUCCGCAGUUCCUCCAGUUAUUACCACUCAGCCAUCCUUUGCAUGCAUGCAACCAGUUUCUAUUUUUGUGUAGGGCAGAGCCUUUCAGGCAAAUGGAAGCGCCUUACCCCUGCCACAAGGUAGGACCACUCCAUGGAAACAAAUGAGCAUUUAUUUCAUCAAAGGCUUCCCGGAGACCAGGCAUCUUACCAAGCUCAGAGGACCCUUAGGAGCUCCUUGGAGGUGGUGGAGGAAGCUAGAUGAGGAGGGGGAGCUCAGUGCCCCGCUUCUGGUUGGAACAGAGCAGAAGUGUGUAUGUUUCAACAGACGAAUGGAUAAACAAAAUGCCGUCUCUCCAUACAAUGGAAUAUUCUUCAGACAUGAAAAGGAAUGAAGUACUGACAUGCUACAACGAGGAGGAACUCCAAAAGCCUCACCCGAAGUGAAAGAAGCCAGGCACAAAAGGUCAUAGAUUUUACGAUCCCAUUGAUAGGAAAUAGCCAGAGUUAAGCAAAUUCAUAGAGCCAGAAACCAGACUGGUUGUUGUCAGGGGCUGGGGGAAGGGGAAAUAUCGGCUUAAUGGGCACAGGAUUUUUUUUUAGGGUGAUGAAAAUGUUUUGGAACUAAAUAGAAGUGGUGGUUUCACAGCAUUGUGAUAUACUAAAUGCCACUGAAUUGCUCACUUUCAAAUGUUUAAUUUUAUAUAAGGUGAAUUUCACCCGAAGUUUUACAAGUGUAAAUGUUUCAUAUAUGGGGUUUCUGCAUAAGACAUUGUUUGAAAAAAGAAUUUGCAGCCCUAAAAAAGAAUGAGUUCAUGUCUUUUGCAGGGACAUGGAUGAAGCUGGAAGCCAUCAUCCUCAGCAAACUAACACAGGAACAGAAAACCAAACACCGCAUGUUCUCACUCAUAAGUGGCAGUUGAACAUUGAGAACACAUGGACACAGAGAGGGGAACAACAUACACCAGGGCCUGUUGGGGGAUGGGGGUGAGAAGCGGGAAGUUGGAGGAUGGGUCAAUAGAUGCAGCAAACCACCAUGGCACACAUAUACCUAUGUAACAAACCUGCACGUUCUGCACAUGUAUCCUGUUUUUUUUUUUAGAAGAAAUAAAUAAAUAAAACGAAUGAGGUCUACUUUUACAUUAAAAAAAAAAAAAGAAUUCCACUACCAGGUUAAAAAAAAUGUUUGGAGGGAUGAGAGACAAGACUGUUUGCCUCUUCCCCCUCAAAAAAACCACAGAAGAAUUUUUCUUUUUCUUUUUCUUUUCUUUGUCUUUUUUUUUUUUUUUUUUUUGAGACAGUUUCACUCUGUCACUCAGGCUGGAUGAAGUGCAGUGGCGCGAUCUCGGCUCACUGAAACCUCUGCCUCUAGGGUUCAAGCGAUUCUCCUGCCUCAGCCUCCCUAGUAGCUGGGACUACAGGCACCCACCACCACGCCAGACUAACUUUUGUAUUUUAAGCAGAGACCGGGUUUUGCCAUGUUGGCCAGGUUGGUCUCCAACUCCUAGGCUCAAGCGAUCCGCCUGCCUCAGCCUCCCAAAGUGCUGGGAUUACAGGCAUAAGCCACUAUGCCUGGCCACAGAAGAAUUUUUCUAAGAAGGAGAAUCUUAUUAGGCAAAAUGUCUUGAAUGAGCCAAUUGGGAAUGGCGGCAAGUCUUCAACAGGCGGCAAAACACAGGGAAAGCCCUGGCAAAGGAAGGAGAAGAACUAGGGGCUACUCCUGAGGACUGGCAGGGAGGGAGGGAGAGAAGAUGGCUCACCAAAACGGCGGCGGCACAGGGGACUUCGCAGGCGACGCAUGUGCAAUCUUCCAUCUGUGUGCGCUGCUGUGAUGUAAAAUCCAAAAAGCACCCUCCAGAAACCACUUUCCAGAAACCACCCUCCAGAAACUGUCAACUCUGCGGCCCACACGAAUGCCUGGGGUGAUUGGGGCUUCUGUGAGAGCGCGAAUGCUCUGAGCAGAGAGGAGAGGCUGCUCUGGUCAGCUCCGGCUGCUGUAACACCACCACAGAUUCGGUGGCUUCAGCAAGUUAUUGUCUCAUCUUCCUGGAGGCUGGACGUUCGAGAUCAAGGUUUUGGCCGGAAUAAUUUAGAUUGUUAGUGCUGGAAGAAACUUGAAGACCACCCUCUCCAAAGCCUCUUUUUACAGAUGAGGAAGCUGAGGCCUAGAGGUUGGAAAUGAUUUACCCAACAUCCCACAGUCUUCCAGUUCCAAGGCUGGAACCAGAACUGGCUUCACACAGGCUUGCCUUCUCUCAUCUCGACCAGGGCCCUACAGGCUCUGAAUUGCUUCUCCAGACCAGACCAGCAAGCUCAGAUCAGAACUGCGUUUUCUGCCAUGGCAUUGCUCCCCAGCCACAGAGGGCUCGGGCAGUCGGGUUCUGUGUCAGUGGAGGACAUGGUCCAAGUUGUGUUUGCUCAUCGAGGGGGAGCUCAGGUUCACCUGACCCAGCAGCUCCCGUGGCUGCUUGACAAACCCAGCGACCUAAGCCCAUUGCUAUUCACAGAUAGCCCAGCCCUCAUCCUAGGGCCAUCAGGAGACCUCAGCUUCUUUCUCCAGUGACUGAAUUCAGUGCUCUAACUCCCUACCUUGCACAGCUGAGCAUGGAGCUACUAAUAGCUCUGUUAUCAUGUUCCCGUUUUAAUACAAACAAACAGCCGUAGCCCAGGAAAGAGAUUUGUUAGAGAGGUUGCUUGCCUUCUGCUCUGGCAGGAGACCUUCACAGCACCAAGCACCUGGCUGCUCUGUGGGGUUUGAGUGAAAUGAUGACUCUUCCUUCACACUCUCCCCUUAGCCUGCUGUUUUCUUCCUUUCCUCCACCUUGGAGGCCACCUAGAAAUUUUGAUGUAGAAAAUUCCAAUCUUGUAGAAUAUCAGGGCUGGGAAAACCUCAGAGAGUCCCUGCUCUCAUGACCCAGUGAUCAGACACAGGACUGACAUAUCCAGCCCUCUGCUCGUGAGAGGCUGGGCCGGUUAUUAGUUACUGCUUGUCAUCUCCAAAUCCCCCACAUUCAGAUGUUGGGGGACUCUGCAAGCCCCAUUUCUGCUUUGCCAACUGCUCUUCAAGAAGCUCUGCCAGGAGGGGCCAGAGGCCAGACACACUCCUUCCGGUCUGUUUCUUGUUUCUAUGAGCAGCACCGUGGCCCACUGCUUCACCCAGGCAGUAGCAGUUCCCUCCCUCAGCAGUGAAAGAACCGAGUUUGCAGUUUUACUGAUUCCUGCAGCACCCCCACAUGGUGCUCCCUCAAGGAUGCCAGCUCCAGCCACCUGGAGCCCCCUCCAUGGAGCUCUGAGGUUCACUUCUGUGGGGCUCCUCCUCUAAUCUUCCAAAUUUUAAUAAUUUCAACUUCUACUCUUUGCUCCCCCAGGCUUAAGGGUGGUAGCUGCUUUCUGAAGUUGCUACCUUCCAUUACACCUGAGAGUUUGCUUUUUGCCUUUCUACUUACAUAGAUAACAAUUCUUCAUAUAUUGAAUUCUAUUAAAAUAACUGGGAGGUUUGGCUGGGAGUGGUGGCUCAUGCUUGUAAUCCUAGCACUUUGGGAGGCCAAGGCAGGCCGAUCACCUGAGGUCAAGAGUUCGAGAUCAGCCUGGCCAACAUGGCGAAACCCCAUCUUUUUUUUUUUUUUUUUUUUUGAGACGGAGUCUUGCUCUGGCACCAGGCUGGAGUGCAGUGGCGUGAUCUCGGCUCACUGCAACCCCCGCCUCCUGGGUUCAAGCGAUUCUCCAGCCUCAGCCUCCUGAGUAGCUGGGAUUACAGGCAUGUGCCACCACACCCAGCUAAUUUUUGUAUUUUUAGUAGAGAUGGGGUUUCACCAUGUUUGCCAGGAUUGUCUCAAUCUCCUGACCUCAUGAUCCACCCGCCUUGGCCUCCCAAAGUGCUGGGAUUACAGGCAUGAGCUACCGUGUCCGGCCAGGGUGAAGCCCCAUCUUUACUAAAAAUACAAAAAUUAGCCAGGCAUGGUGGCGGGUGCCUGUAGUUCCAGAAACUUGGGAGGCGGAAGCGGGAGAAUCAUUUGAACCUGGGAGGUGGAGGUUGCAGGGAGCCAAGAUCUUGCUACUGCACUCCAGCCUAGGUGACAAAGUGAGACUCCAUCUCAAAACAAAAACAAACCAGCAAACAAAAACAAAAAACUGGAAGGUUUUCAUCAACUCUGACUGAUAUGCUGGCAGAGCUGAGAUCCAAACCUAGGUCUUCUUUCUCCUGGUUCAGGACUCUUUGCACUGGAAUCCAAUAAAUAUUUGUUCAAUUAAAGGAAUAGUAAAGUGAGUUCACUCCAUUCAUUGGUUCCAACGUUAAUAAGAUGUUGUUUCAGAUUCCCAUCACCACCACCACCAACAACAAAUUAUCACCUAAUUGCAGCCUAGACUUCCUGCCAUCCAAGUGUCAAGCUCUAUCACAGGCUAUUAGAAUUGAGAGGGACUAUGGCCAGGCACGGCCGCUCAUACCUGUAAUCCCAGCACUUUGGGAGGCCGAGGUGGGCAGAUCACGAGGUGAAGAGAUCAAGAGCAUCCUGGUCACCAUGGUGAAACCCUGUCUCUACUGAAAAUACAAAAAUUAGCUGGGCGUGGUGGCGUGCACCUGUAGUCCCAGCUACUCGGGAGGCUAAGGCAGGAGAAUCGCUUGAACCCGGGAAGUGGAGGUUGCAGUGAGCCGAGAGCCCGCCACUGCACCCCAGCCUGGCAACAGAGCGAGACUCUGUCUUAAAACAAAAAACAAAAACAAACAAACAAACAAAAAACAUAAGAGCAGUGCAGGGCUGCAGAGCUAUCUCCUUUCUCCCCAGUUUGGCUGCACCCUUCCCACUUCCCCAGCCACACUAUGUCCCUCUCCACCUGGCCCUGUGUCACUGUCUACCUGACCCUGCAUCCCUGUCUACCUAGCUCUCUGUCUGCUCCCUCACCCAACUGGGUAAUGGUCAGUGGUGAGGCCCAAGGACUAAUGGGGCUAAUCUAGUUGGACCAUCGUCUUAGAUUGGGCCACAGGCCUUUACCCAAGAGCCAACCUAAAUUUGCCUUGUUCAGAGACUACAGUCAGCAUAUUCCCUUGUUUUCAUGGCUGGUGAGUGGUAGCUGGUAGCAAGCCAACCCACAGCUGAACACCGACACAUGAGGGAUCUCAGCUGAGACCAAGAGAACCACCCAGAAGGACUGCUAAGUCCAUCCCAAGUUGCCAACCCACAGGAUCAAAAGCUAAAUAAAUAAAUUCUUG